UAGGUUCUAAAAUAUUCCUAAAACUUAACUAAUAAGAAAAUAAUUUAAAUCAUAAUUAAAUCAUAUAAGGAAAAUAAUAUCCUGAUUGAUAACUUAUUCUAGAACUAUGAAUAUAAUAUAGAUCUUCUCAAGAAAUCAAGCAACUCGAAAAUCCCAACGAUACACCUUCCUUUUUUUCCUAGCGCCAUAAUCGAUGCGUAAGCAUGAUUUUCCAUAUUUGAAGCCAAAUUUUUUGAUUUUGAGUUUUUCCCUUUUUCCAAAUUUCCUUCAUAGGAACAAACCAUUGAUUUAGCCUACAUCAGAUCCCUUCACUUGUAAAUAACUCGACCUCAAGUUCUCCUUGAAUUGAACUUGGGUAGACAUAGAAUUUGAUGUGUGAAUAAACUCUUCAAUUCUUGGAGUUCAAACUUGCUCGUACUUGGAUGGAAUAAUCAUACAAUUAAUUUCAUAAAAAAUAUUAGUAGUUGAUAAUCAAACUCCUUCAAUAAAUGCAUUUCUUGCUCAAAUUCGGAUUUAUUCAGACCUUCAAUUUUUUCCUCCAUUGUGUGGGUUACUGGAUCAUCAAUUAAUUCAACCUCCUUACAAUUUCUACUACUUUGACCUCUUCCUCCAUCUUUUCUUGGCUCGUCAUAAUUUUGGGUUGAUCAAUAUUGUAACCAUUCAUUGACAAAUAUAUGUCAUAUUCAAAAGGAAAGAAUUUUUUUACAAGAAGUCUCUUCAUCCUACGCCAAGAAGCGAUAGGAUUUUUACCUUGCUGCUUCAUAGAUUUUCACAUAUGAUCCUUCUAAGAAGCGACAUCGCCUCUUAAACAGUACACAACAAUUUUCACCAUCUUCUCUUCUAAAAUCAUUAUUGUAUCAAAUAUUUCUUCUAUAUUUGCAACCCAUUCAACAAUGGAGUCACUUCCCAUAAAGCAUGGAACAUUUGCAACAUAGGAUUGAUGAGGUUGGCUUCGGGCAAAUCCACCAGCUCGUUCCCCUUCAAUAUUUGAUAUUUCCCCACAACCAUCGUCGAUGAGGUAUGCAUACCUCCCAUUGUCGUUCAUCAUUGAGAAGGCAAAUCCUUGCUCUAAAUGAUGACUUGCUCUGAUACCACUUGAUGCAUUAUGGAAGCACAGGUUUACGGAUCAACAAACGUCUAAACCCGAAAAGAUAAACUAAAAUCCAUCGGCGAUUGGAAUCCACCAGAAAAGAGAGAAAAUCUCUAAAUUUGAUUAAUAAUAUGAUUAAAAAUUGAUUAAUACAAUGUCAUGAGUUGGCUUAAAAAGAAGGAUAAACUAUAUAAAACCCCC
rnacentral:lncRNA from 1 species